GUUUCGCACAAUGCGUCCAAGAGGAACUGAAUGUUACACUGGAUGCCAGCCAUGGAUGGCAGGCUGAUGAACUCAUGAACCAUUCCAUUGCACGUGGUUGGUCUCAAGCUGGGUUUCGUUGGAGCCCAUGGCAGCAUCAGUGAAACCAAAAAGUUUGGCAGGAGGCAUCCAUGGAUGUCCUGCGACUCAUCUCUCGGCUGGCUGGCUAGAGACUGGAGCGCUUCACACACAAUGGGCUGUAUGCAGGCUUUGGAGAGCAGGAGUGCCCGGCCUGCCCAUUUGUCAUACCGAUUCUCCCUGAUGGAUCCUUGCCUGACAGUGACCUCACAUCAUGCUAGCCGGCAGCUCAACAUCGCUGUGCAAGGAGAACGAUGCCAGGUGGUUCUCACAAUGCGUCCAAGAGGAAGUGAAUGUUACACUGGAUGCCACCGUGUGAGUGCAGGUUUCAUAGUGGCCAAAUGAACCUCAACUGUCUUGUGCUCAAAAUCCAGGGGCCUGGCAGUCUCACACUGUGACGAGGAGCUCCUCAAGUUGCACAUGCCUGCAGUUCAUUAGGAGUGGGACAUGUUGGCCAUUCUAGGUAGAACCCAUUGCUUCAAAUCAUUGAUUCGGG
rnacentral:lncRNA from 1 species